AACGAACGCUGGCGGCAGGCUUAACACAUGUAAGUCGAACGCGUGUAGCAAUACACGAGUGGCGCACGGGUGAGUAACGCGUGGAUAUCUGCCUUUUGGUUCGGAGUAACUCCGGGAAACUGGAGCUAAUACCGGAUGGUUCCUUCGGGAUAAAGAUUUAUCGCCAAAAGAUGAGUCCGCGUACGAUUAGCUAGUUGGUGAGGUAAUGGCUCACCAAGGCGACGAUCGUUAGCUGGUCUGAGAGGACGAUCAGCCACACUGGGACUGAGACACGGCCCAGACUCCUACGGGAGGCAGCAGUGGGGAAUAUUGGACAAUGGGGGCAACCCUGAUCCAGCCAUGCCGCGUGAGUGAUGAAGGCCUUCGGGUUGUAAAGCUCUUUUGGCGGGGACGAUGAUGACGGUACCCGCAGAAUAAGCCCCGGCUAACUUCGUGCCAGCCGCCGCCGUAACAC
rnacentral:rRNA from 1 species